rnacentral:rRNA from 1 species
UACGUAGGGGGCAAGCGUUGUCCGGAUUUAUUGGGCGUAAAGCGCGUGUAGGCGGCCAGGUAGGUCGGUUGUGAAAAUUGGAGGCUCAACCUCCAGACGUCGAUCGAAACCAUCUGGCUAGAGUCCGGAAGAGGAGAAUGGAAUUCCUGGUGUAGCGGUGAAAUGCGCAGAUAUCAGGAAGAACACCCGUGGCGAAGGCAGGCUCCUCUGG